UACAGAGGUCUCAAGCGUUGUUCGGAUUCAUUGGGCGUAAAGGGUGCGUAGGUGGCGCCGUAAGUCGGGUGUGAAAUUUCGGAGCUUAACUCCGAAACUGCAUUCGAUACUGCGGUGCUUGAGGACUGGAGAGGAGACUGGAAUUCAUGGUGUAGCAGUGGAAUGCGUAGAGAUCAUGAGGAAGACCAGUGGCGAAGGCGGGUCUCUGGACAGUUCCUGACACUGAGGCACGAAGGCCAGGGGAGCAAACGGG
rnacentral:rRNA from 1 species